CUGAAAAUUAAUAAAAGUUGGGGUCAAAAUUAACUAGGACUGUCGUGAUCACUAUAUAUAUUUACCGGUAUAUUAGAUAUAGAUGGAUGGACGUUCAGAAAGGAGAGCUGGGGCAGCAGUUGCAUCAUCAACGACGGUGGUGAUGUGGGUUGUGAUGGUGGUGGUGUGGUGGUGGUGAAUGAUGCACAACUGGGGGAGGUGGAGGGUGGACUACAACCACUGGAGGAGAGUGAUGCGGUGGAGGCGGGGGAGGAGCUUCCUUCACAACCACCACCACAGGAGGUGGGGAUGGUGUAUGGUGAUGAUGCUUCCCUGCAAACAAAAGAUAUAUCAAUUACCCAAUUCAGUCAGUCAUAAAAUAUUAUUGAAAACUGCUGAAGCUUUAUAAUUCAGUCAAGAAAGUGAAAAAAGAUCUGUGAUGAACUUACCUGGAGGAUGAUGGUGGUGGUGAUGUCCGUGAUUCAUUUUUUCCUUCUGCUAUUAAGAACUACUGUAAUUGGGUUAUAUAGAACUGGUAGCUAGGUAUCUUCUUGAUCUACACGACACGUGUAGAGGCGUGUAGGUGUGGAAAUUAAGAUAGACUUCGUUGUUAAGAAAUGAAGUGAUUGGUACAAGAUGAUUUCUUUUUUUACAAAUUGAUUGGCCGGAGUUCCAUCAAUAUUUAUUUCUGAUCUCGACUCGCGUUAGCCCGUAGCGGCGUAGCCCCGUACCGUAUUUAGUUACUUUGAAAAUAAAUAAGUUUGUAAAUCGGACGGAUAACCGGCGUCGACGGUGAUAUAGCUUUUGAUUAAUCUCUGAGACAAUCGAGCAUGUUAAAGAUUCUUGAAUCAAAUUCAACUUGCGUUGCUACUGGUUAAAAUAAACUUUAGAAAUAUAUAUCCAACACUUUAGAAUUUAGAUCUUCAACGGUGCAUGUGGUAGGUAGAAUUACCCCUCGCAGUGAUCAUCAACCUUCUAAACCGGUUGUUAAUCGUAGUUAAAACAGUCAAAUUAAUAGAGAAAAAUUAUAAUAGGAAGAGGAUUUGGUGAAUACCUCCCUAGAUUUUAGUUCUUAGUUGGGUUUUUUAAUAUUUUUUUGUCACAUCCUUAGAUGAGUCUUUAGAGGUUAAGAUUGGGUGGCCGCAUCCGACCACAUUGGGCUAGGGUGCCGCACCUGAAACUUAAUUUUAUUGAUAUCAGACAGAGAAUUUUAACUUUUAUACAAGGUCAAGCUCUAGAGGCUGUUGACAAGCUUAGUUAUUCUUUGCCGGCAACAGUAACUUGGAUGAUUUGUUCAUCAAUUCUAUUUUCAGAACAAGGAAUCAGAUAUGUAAUCUUAAUUAGUUUUUUUAACUUUUCAUUCCAUUUCGAUAUGUAAUCAAUUAUCUGAUAAUUAUUAUUUAUCACAGAUUCACAGCAGAUGUAUAAUAUACUCGGAUAAAGUGACGUAUAUUAAGUUCAAACACUAAUGGCAAUCUGGCAUGGCUUAAAAUAAAUUAUUAAGACCAGAUAAUACAUUAUUUGAUCAGAUUAUAUCUCUCCAAUUUUAUUACCUGCAAAUUAUAUAGAUAGAUGAUGUUCAGAAGAGAGAGCUAGCUGGAGUCUGUAGUUGUCGAUCAUCAGCGAUGGUGGUGUGUUGGUGGUGGAGGAUGGUGCACAGGAGGAGGUGGUGUGUGGACUACAACCACUGGAGGAGUGUGAUGGGACGACGGUGGUGGAGGCGGAGUUUCCUUCACAACAACCACUACAGGAGGUGGGGAUGGAGUAGGAUGAUGAUGCUUCCCUGUAAACCAAAGAUCAACACCAUUCCAGUCAUGAAAUAUUAUCCAAAAGUACAGGAACUUUGCAAUUCACGAUGAGUAAGUAAUUACCUGG
rnacentral:lncRNA from 1 species